rnacentral:lncRNA from 1 species
UUAAGAGUGUGCGUGAGUGGUACUUAAGUUCCAUGGGUGCACUCAAAAGUCAGCUAGCCUUUUGAGGUGUAUCUUGUGGGGUUAACUUAGGUGUUGUUUGUGAAAAUUCUUGUCAAAAAGAAAAAAAAAAAAAAGACCUGUGGAGCCGCUGUGAGUGAGUGCUAGUUAGUGCUUAGUAGAGGCUCCCUCUGUGUCCCACAUCGUUUGUUAAGAGUGUGCGUGAGUGGUACCUAAGUUCCAUGGGUGCACUCAAAAGUCAGCUAGCCUUUGAGGUGUAUCUUGUGGGGUUAACUUAGGUGUUGUUUGUGAAAAUUCUUGUCAAAAAAAAAAAAAAUCGUUGUUGCCUCCACCGCCGCCUUCCUGCUCCUCCUCCUCUCUUCCUCCACUGAUUGUUUCUCCUUCCCCUUCUCCCCGUCUUUCCUUAAGAGAAGGUCUUUGCCCUUUCCUUGCCUAUUUCAAUGAAACCAAAUCCACCUUGAAAGUGCAAAUUCCUGAGCUGAUUUAUGAAGAAACUGUGGUGUCCUAAAGAUUUUCCCGAAGAAUGUCAUCCGGGCUAAUAUAAUUAUGAAGAAACUGUGUUGUCCAGGCUAAUAUAAUUAUGAAGUUCCUUUCGUAUUAUACUUGUG